UGAUGGCGGCCGUGACGUUGGACGAGUCUGGGGGUGGCCUCCAGACGCCCGGAGGAAGCCUCACCCUCGUCUGCAAGGGCUCCGGAUUCACCUUCAGCAGUUACAACAUGGGAUGGGUGCGCCAGGCACCCGGCAAGGGGCUGGAGUUCGUCGCAGGUAUUAGCAACACUGGUAGAUACACAGGCUACGCGUCGGCGGUGAAGGGCCGUGCCACCAUCUCGAGGGACAACGGGCAGAGCACAGUGAAGCUGCAGCUGAACAGCCUCAAGGCUGAGGACAGCGCCACCUACUACUGCGCGAAAAGUGCUUACAGUGGUUGUUGUGGUUGUGGUUGUUGGGAUGCUGCUGGUGUUGACACAGACAUCACGAGGACACGGCUUCAUCUGCAUCUGGGAAGCUUCACCACUUGGGCUCACAUCUCUCAAUCUGGGCUGUGGGUGACACCACCAAAUUCGGCAGCGACGUCGAUACGAUAA